UACGUAGGCAGCGAGCGUUGUUCGGAGUUACUGGGCGUAAAGGGUGUGUAGGCGGUUGUUUAAGUUUGGUGUGAAAUCUCCCGGCUCAACUGGGAGGGUGCGCCGAAUACUGAAUGACUUCGAGUGCGGGAGAGGAGAGUGGAAUUCCUGGUGUAGCGGUGAAAUGCGCAGAUAUCAGGAAGAACACCUAUGGCGAAGGCAGCUCUCUGGGACGGUACUGACGCUGAGACGCGAAAGCGUGGGGAGCGAACAGG
rnacentral:rRNA from 1 species